GUCGGACUAGACCAGCAAAAGAAAAGAAAAAACACACCCGUCCACUCCCCAAUCCCCCUCCCUCUGUCUCUACCCGAUUGCGCCGCCGCCCCCGACCUAAACCUAACUCAACUGCACCGUCGCCCCUGAUCUGCGUGCCGCCGCCCUUCCUCUGGUCUCCUCGUGCCACAUCAUCUCCGACCCUGGCCUCCCUCCCCGCAGGGCAGCAUCCGCCCAGGAGCAGCAGCUCCGUCCGCCACGCCGAGGAGCAGCAGCGCCGUCAACCGCCGCCGAGGAUCCACUGCUGAUUUGUCUCCACGUGCGACCUCUGUUUUGGCUGAUUUCCUUCCCUCCGCCCCGCCUACAAAAUUCAAGAGGUGGUGGAGGCAAGUCAAGAAUUUACAUCGGUUCUGUUACGGGAACAGAGGAUAGUCCUCCUAAGCUGCUUAAUGGUAGAGUUGGAAUUCCUCUAGUCCAACUCCAGGCAGGAGGUCGGUUGGAACUGGAUCAGUAUCGAGAGUAGGAAGCAACCAAGUCGCCCUUUUGAUCAACUACAACAGCAACAACAAUCAAUGGUGCAGGCACUCGACUCCAUGGGCGAGGAGGACGACCGGGACCCCAAGCCCAAGCCAACGGCCCUGACCACGACUCCCCACACAAGAAACAACUUGAAGAAGCAGCUGAACCGCCAACAUAACUGGCAAUGGAAAUUCAAUUUCGCCGACAAGCUAAACAAGUUUCUACUCUACUAGAGGCCGGAAAAAUACAAAGGCAAAUUGGAGAAUCGAUCAAGUUCUCUUUUCUCAAGGAAUCAGAAAUGUGGAAACACCGGGUGUUAUUCUUGUCAACUUUUUUCCAUGAGAUGACACUGCUAUGUUUCGUUUGAUGCUUGGGUCAGGAAGACAUAGGUUCAGAAUGGGGAAAAUGGUCCUCAGUUUGAACUAAAUACUAUUAUUUUUCUUUUGGGCAAUCUUUGUAUUUUUCUUGUCAGGUUUCAUGCUUCAUAACUAAACACAUACAGUGCAGUUUGUAGUGUUAUUAUAAAUGGAUGAUGCAUCAGGCUA